AUGCCUCAGCUCCUGGAGCAGCACAGCAGCAUGGUUUGACUAACUAACAGAAUGUGUUCAUUCAGUGUGGCAUCCAGGAGACACUUAACACUUUGCUACUGAACUGAUGCCAGGGUGUAGAGUCAGAAAGUCUGUCAAAGGAGAUGUUGUCCUAUGCCAAUUGGUGUAUACUUUCCUUCUUGCCCACGCCUGGCCAGAAAUAAGAGCAGAUAGAAACUCUUAAUACUAUUAAGUAUCUUUUAAUUAAGAGCUUUGUUUCAAAAUAAAGUACUGGAUGGAUAUUUGGAUGUGUGAGAGACCCAUGCUACAGUGCUGAUGAAGGGUUUCAGACAUCCUGUGCCUUCCUACUGAAAGAUAAGCUUUAAUAUAAUCAACAGGAAAACACAGACCUCAGCAGUAGAUCUGGACACAUGGUACUGCUUUCUCUUUUCCUGUUUGUCAACUCAAAAGGCUUACGCCUGACAUCAUCUUAAAAAAGAAGUAUGCCUUUUCAAUUGCUUAUUUAAGGAUGAAGUACUUUCAGAAGAGAUUGAACCUGGUGCUCAUACGAUAAAACUGAGGGAGAAUUAAACUUCUGAGAUGAAACCAGGGGAAGAAAAGCCUAACGAGUCCAGAGUUUGACAUCUUUGAAUAUCCAAAGGCUCCUAGUCCUUCAGUCUUUUUUCUGAAGAAUGUGUGGUGCAGCUUUUUCACAUGGAUGCCUAGGAUGUUUGCAUACCACAGAAAGACUAAUUCUUGCAGCAUGUGCUGUGUUACAUUUCUUGUGAUGCAGUACCAGGUUCUCUGUGCUCCCUGCUCCUCCUCUCCUCCACCAGUGGCCCUGAGGCCUCGUCGCCAUGCGCCCCGCCCGGCUUGCUCUGUGACAGGAGCUGCAGCUUCUCAUCAGCUAGUCUGAGAAGGAAGCUGCAGACGUUCACUGUGACAAUGGUUAACACUGCAGUCAGUGAUGAAGAAAAAGGAGCUCAAGAGAAGGAGAGCAAGGAGGAAUCCAUACUGGCCAUGCUUGGUAUAAUUGGAACCAUCCUUAAUUUAAUUGUAAUCAUUUUUGUGUACAUCUACACAACACUAUGAACUGGACAAAGUCAAGACAUUACCAAGAGGACUGAUGCUUAGAUGGAUACUAAAUGGAUACUAGGUUUUGUCUUCUUGCUUUAUUAAAAUUUACCAGGACUGUGUAAUUACACCAUAAAACAUUACCUUGCCUAUGGGCACAGUGGUGAGAAGCACAAAAGAGUUUUGAGACUUCAUUUCUCAAAAUGAAGAACUGGCCCCUUCAAAGCUUAUUGCAUUGUUCCUAAAAACACAUAGCUCAAUGGCUACAAUACAUUCUAUUUCAGAUGGAAAAUAUGUACCAUCUUUUCAGUUAUCAGUUUUGUUAAUAAUAAAGGAUUCUGAGGUAUAAAAAUAUAUUUUUACACAAGAAUAUCAAAUGAUAUUAAUUGACUGAGAACGAAAGUUAUAAUGCCUUGACUCUUCUUGAAGUAAAUCCCUGUAUGAAUAUUAUACUGUAUAUACUGUACUAAGCAAAAUCUAUGGACUAAAUAGUACCCAAGAGGCACACAUUAAAUUAUUUGAAGGAGUUUGAUAAAAUGUGCAAUGAAAUGAUAUGGUCUAAAAUUGAUUCAGGUGGAGAAAUCAAACCAUACUGUAAAUACUAAAAUUGUUCAGUGUUAAAUGUUCUCUUUUUUAAAAGAAAAUAUCUAAAUUCCACUUAAAAAUAUAUAAAGAUAAUUUAUGAUAUUUAAAAUAACUGGGAUCAUUAUAAUGGUAAAGAGGAAAUUUUUAACACUUUCUUUUUGGUGUUUUGUGUUACCGAAGACACACAUUGAAACACAAAUGGAAAGGAUUUCAAGUAUUUUGACUUUAAUAAAAAAUGUGAGGUUUAUUUCUUAAAUGAUGGGACCCUCUUAAUUUAAACAGAACAUUUUGAAAACCACUGCGAUAAAAUUCUUCAUUACGCAAUUUAGGGAACUGCCAGUUGGAACUGAUCAUUAUUCUGCCUUAAAAUAGAAACUAACUGUAUAUCUUAUCUGGAAGAAGACUUAGAAGACCAAACUUAAAAACCACAAAAUAGUGUAACGCAGGAUGGUAUUUCCAACAGUUUUCCUUGAAAUUUGUUCAAAGUUGGAUAGUUUUUUAAAUGUUUCAUGUCUUUGUGUGAAAUAGUCCACAAAUUCUGAAUUUAUAGACUGAAAGAAGACACAUUGAAAAAACAAAAUUGUUAAAAAAAUAAAAUUCACAAGCUUUUGAAUUAGGAUCUGACACCUCAGCAGUGGUUCCUUCACAGAAUAAUCACUGAAUAAUCAUAUAAUUCAGACCAUGUAUUAGCUUUUUAAAUACUUCCACCAAAUACUUUGAGGCAAGACAAGUUCUGAACAGGAUUCACUGAAAAUCAUGACCAACAUAAAUAGUGCCAACAUAAUUAAACAGCUGACAGAAUAUUUUCAAAAAUUCAGUAAAUUAUUGAUCAUCUUGGCUGUUUGGAUUAUGCAAACCAAAUUGGUCAUUUAAAUAUUAGUGUUAUUUUCCCAUGUUCUAUAAAUAUGCUUAGUAUUUAAAAUGUGAUCAAUGUGGCAAAAUACACCAUUUUUGUUAAAGCCGAAUUGGCCACAGUUUUGGGCCAGGUUUACAUUUUGUCUUGUCUUAAAGUGUCCUUGAAUAAUUAGGCCUAGUGACUUAAAUGCUCUUGUAUGCAGAUGUUGGGGUUUAUUCCCAUAAUCCUUAGGCAGGCUGGUGACGUAAUCUACUGUACUGGUGAUAAUCUACUGAGGACAUUAAAGAGUUUUUAAUUUUGCAUGA